rnacentral:lncRNA from 1 species
CGUACAACUGAAAGGCGUUAUCAAGAUUCAGCAUUUGGUUCGAAUAAUUCUUUGAUGAGAAAGAAUCUGAAUGAGCACGUAGCAUAAUGACACAAAUACAGCUAAGUGAAAGGCAUAAUGAUACAAAUAUUACAUACCUCAACCUCCUUAAGGAAAUUGAAAGUAUGUGUCAAUUACCUCAUUUUAAAUUGUAAGAUCUUGCAUUGACAUAAAACAGAAGAAACAGGGCUGAAGAUGCAGACAUACAAAUACUCUUUCUUAAAAUGCUAGCUGUAAAUUGUUGAACUACUGCCAGUAAAAACUAUGCAAAAGCCUCAAGUAGUCCAGUCAUAUAUAUUCUGCAUGUAGACUUUCGCCAUAGGCGCUAGCUUCUCGCCAAGCAGGUGCCUCCUUUUUCUGCAAUGUCCAGAGCUUCAGAUAUUAUAAUCCCACACAAAUACUCGAAGUAUGUACAACAGAAUUGAUGAUUCAGGCCAAAACAGCAUUAUAAAUGUACUGCUAACAGUAUGUCACACAAAUAUCUUAACUUAGAAAUGGCGAAACACCAAGUCGAUACCUAUACAGAUCACAUCAUACAAUUCCUAUCGAAGAAUGUAUGCUCAGAAGUUUGUAUCAUACAUUCCUACUUAUUCGUUAUCUUCUGUUUCUUGCCAUGCUAACAAAAUAGAUAUUUCUGACAGUAAUUAGAGAACAUUAAAUAUAUCAGUGCAUUCUUAAAGAUUUACAAGAACAAUAGAGUACCCAGAGUAUCCAGCGCUACCAUGCAGCCAUCUAUCCGAGUAGUUCAUACUGGUCUAAAGACAAAUGUUCAUACUCGCUGCCGUUGGUGGCCUGACUGCAUGACCAUGAGAAUAUCCGUGUCUCUGAGCACGCGAAGCGAGAUGGUCAGACAGAUGUUCUGUUCACACACAGGCUUGGUGCACGGCCAUGAGAAUAUCCAAUCAUAUGAGACGUGCCGAUGACGUCAGGUCUCCAAAUAUUAUAUGACCGAUGCUCCACGGAAACAGAAACAAUAGCUAAGGGGCACUGCAACGCUUAUCAUCUUCAGGACAGUUACACUUACUGGUAUAAUUCUUAGUAUGAUCACUUAUUCCAAGUUCUCAAGGGACAGUUACACUUACUGAUAUAAUUCUUAUUUCCCGGUUUCUCUAGGUGUGAGGCAUCAUCGUCAGUGCCAAGAUGGUUAAAAUUAAUGCUGAUGCUGCAGUGUUUCAGUGAUG